AACAAAAGGGAUCUGAAAAAAGGGUGAAGAAGCAGAGCUUCCUCUUCCUCCUCCCCUCCCGACGGCGUCGCCGAAACCCUCUCCGCCGAACACCCCCGCCGCUCCAGCCCUUAUUCCGCCGAAGCGCGGGAACCUCGAAGGCAGGGUACGACAUGGCUUCACAUGCUUACUCUUCCAAGAGACCAUUCCAGAAGAAUUCUUCAGAACACAAUGGUCGGGCCAAGUGGCAAAAGACAAAACAUGCUCCUUCGCAGCAGCCUCAGAUGACAAUACAGCCUGGAGUUCCUCUUAUCCGCAUUCUCUGCCCUACUGAGAGAUGUGGGAAUGUCAUUGGUAAAGCUGGUAGCAUCAUUGCAAAGAUAAGGAAAGAAAACGGAGUAAAAAUUCGGGUUGAUGAAGCAGUCCCUGGUUGUGAUGAGAGAGUUAUUGUCAUAACUACCGUUGAGAAGGACAAAGAAGCUAGCCACGAGCAAGGUAAACAGAAUGAUGACGGUACUGCUGUUUCUGGUGACGGCGAGCAUGCAAAGGAGGAAGACCACAGUAAGGAAGAAAAAGAUGAUUCAGAUAAUGCCCAUGGCAAGGAAGAACAAGAUGAUGCAGAGAGAGGUGACAGCAAGGAAGAAAAUGAUGAUUCCUCUGUCGCCAAAACUACGAAGUUGGAGCCAGAGAGGGUAAUACCAUCAGCAAUGAACGCCAUUUUGCAUGUCUUUGAUAGGAUUUUCAUAACUGAAAGUAAAAAUGGAACUGGAGAUGCACCAGGCCAGAAAACUCCUGUUUCCUUCAGAUUGUUGGUGCUAGAUAGCCAAGUAGGUCCGCUUUUGGGAAUUCGAGGUAGUGUGAUUAAGCAGAUGUCCGCUGAUAGUGGCUGUGAAAUCCGAGUUUCAAAGGAAAAUCUUCCUUUAUGUGCUUUACUCAAAGAUGAACUUUGUCAGAUUAAUGGAGAGCUUGACUCAGUCAGGAAAGGUCUGAAUGCAGUGGCUCAAGUGCUCUUUACUCACCCCCCUAGGGAAAGUGACGUAGUUCCUAUUGUUCAUCCUUCUGGUUCAUCAUCACACACCUUUGAUCGCUCAGAUGGUCUUCCUCCAGGAAUGCCACCUAACUUUCAUCUCCCUUUUCAAGGGCCAUCCCAUGCCAGGGGACCUUUUGAUAUCAUUGACGAAAGGCCAAAUGUUGCACCUUUCUCAGCUUUUCCUGACCAACGCUCAAACAUUCCUCCCUUUUCUUCUUUUCCUGAUGCUCUCAUGCAUGGUAAUGCUUCAGUUCCUCCAGAACCUCUCACUUUCAGGCUAUUAUGUUCAAGUGACAAGGUCGGAAGUAUUAUAGGGAAGGGUGGAAACAUUAUCAAGACUAUUCAGAAAGAUACAGGUUGUGAAAUAAAAAUUGUUGAGACUGUUCCAAAGUCAGAUGAUCACAUCAUAAUUAUCUCUGGACCUGCGCACCCAGGUGAUGGCAUUUCCCCAGCACAGAAUGCAAUUCUGCAUGUGCAGCGUAAAAUUACGCCAACCACCUCUAACAAGGAGGGUCCUGCAUUAUCUAGGCUGAUCGUUUCACCUAACCAAGUUGGCUGCCUCCUUGGCAAAGGUGGCAGUAUCAUGGCUGAAAUGAGGAAGCUGUCAAAAGCUCAUAUAAUAGUGUUGAGCAAAGACAAGAUACCAAGGGGUGUACAAAAUAUUGCUGAAGUUGUUCAGAUAACCGGGGAUUCUGAGGCUAUUCAGGAAGCUCUGAUGCAGAUAACUGCUAGGCUACGUAACAAUCUUUUCCGGGACAGAAUGGCUUCAAUGGGUCCCAGCAUGCAGCCACCUUUUGGUUUGCUGGAUCCUCAGUUUGGUGCAUUUCCGGGAAUCCAUGAAUCUACAUCUCCUAGGAUUUAUCCUAAUGCAUCUCAGUUUCAUAAAGAUUUCAUGGGACGACCAUUGGAUGAGAUGUCUGCUCCUUGGACCACAAAGGGCAUGCAGGAUGUUGGUGAUCCGAUGUCAAUAUCUGGCGUUCCUGGAAUGGCACACAGGGGAAUUGGUGGAUUUUCUGGUCCUGUUCAUUCAUCUAGGCCAAUCAUAACUGGAAAUAUCAUGGUUCCAAGAUUAAUUAUACCUGCCCUAUGCGGGCAUGAUGGAGGUUGUUUGAAUAUGAUUCGCGAGUUUUCAGGAGCUAAGAUAACAAUCGAUGAACCUCUAGCUGAUUCCAUGGAUACACCUGUUAUGAUAUCUGGCACACCGGAUCAGAUGCAUGCAGCCCGAAGUCUUGUUCAAGCAUUUGUUCUAAGUGAACCACCUGCCCCAUGAGUUUCAAAUCUCUGAAGGUCAACAGUUUUAGUGAGUUGUCAACCGGGGUAGUUUCUUGUAGGCAGACAGUUGGUUCUCAUAUCUGCUUGGCUAUCCUUUGCUGCCAUGUUAGCAUUGGAGGCUGCAUCCUAGAAGAUGGUAAAAUGACAACCAUGUUUCAACCAGGAAAACAGGAGUUGUGUGAAAUACAUACAUAAAUUGAAUGGAUGAGAUUCUGCCUGAUAUGACAACGAUUGUCUUGGAAUCACUUUUACGUGGACAGCUAACAACUAUGGUGAGACGAGUGUGGAUCACAAGCAAAGUUUGAUUCAAAAAACAAAAACAGAAAAACAUUGAACAUCGGUGUUAAUAUUUUUUGAGAAGGUAUUUCUGUAUUCUUGUAGUAUACUUCCUCUGUCCAAUAAUAAUAUAUUGUUGAAAAUAUUUUAUAUUAUGGGACGGAGCGACAUCAAAGAAAUGAGCGUUUGGAUGCAAAAAAGGAAGUUCCGAAGUACAAAUUGGCUACACAGAAGCGCUGCCAACACGUCCGUACGGCUGUGAAUACCUGGUUUAUGAGCCGUUCAUUUACUGGAUCGGACAGCUGCUACUCAUUCGUCUGUGUAUACUUUUCUAGGGUUAAGCAGCACUCCACAAGAUGAGCAUAUACGUGCACAAGCACAUUCAUGUAGGUGGUGCCAUAGAAAAUUACUACGAUAUUCUAGCACCAGGUUGCUUCUAGUAUUUUGUAGCCCGCCAAUAGUGGUGAAUUAUUUCUUGCUCUCGCAAGCUGCGGCAGAUCUAGUCCCUCCAGGCUCUAUUUUGUAGCCCAUAUAGACCAGCCCAUGGGCUCUUCUCCCUUCUGCUUGUUCGGUUUUGUGUUGAGGAAUCUCAGUUCCUUUGCUAUGACUAGCACUUUAAGUUAGUUUUUUUGUAGUGGCGCUUAGAUGAAAGUCAGUGUCUCACAUUCGAGCUGAUCUUUUGGGCUUUGAUC